CCUACGGGUGGCUGCAGUGGGGAAUAUUGGACAAUGGGGGGAACCCUGAUCCAGCCAUGCCGCGUGUGUGAAGAAGGCCCUCGGGUUGUAAAGCACUUUCAGUGAGGAAGAACGCCUGGUGGUUAAUACCCAUCAGGAAAGACAUCACUCACAGAAGAAGCACCGGCUAACUCCGUGCCAGCAGCCGCGGUAAUACGGAGGGUGCGAGCGUUAAUCGGAAUUACUGGGCGUAAAGCGCGCGUAGGUGGCUUGAUAAGCCGGUUGUGAAAGCCCCGGGCUCAACCUGGGAACGGCAUCCGGAACUGUCAAGCUAGAGUGCAGGAGAGGAAGGUAGAAUUCCCGGUGUAGCGGUGAAAUGCGUAGAGAUCGGGAGGAAUACCAGUGGCGAAGGCGGCCUUCUGGACUGACACUGACCCUGAGGUGCGAAAGCGUGGGUAGCAAACAGGAUUAGAUACCCUUGUAGUC
rnacentral:rRNA from 1 species